AAUGAACGCUGGCGGCGCGCCUAAUACAUGCAAGUCGAGCGAGAAGACGUAGCAAUACGUUUGUAAAGCGGCGAACGGGUGAGGAAUACAUGGGUAACCUACCCUCGAGUGGGGAAUAACUAGCCGAAAGGUUAGCUAAUACCGCGUACGCUCCUUGGACUUCGGUUCAGGGAGGAAAGCGAUACCGUGGGUAUCGCGCUCUUGGUUGGGCUCAUGUCCUAUCAGCUUGUUGGUGAGGAACGGCUCACCAAGGCUUCGACGGGUAGCUGGUCUGAGAGGACGAUCAGCCACACUGGCACUGCGACACGGGCCAGACUCCUACGGGAGGCAGCAGUAAGGAAUAUUGCGCAAUGGGCGAAAGCCUGACGCAGCGACGCCGCGGUGGGGGAUGAAGGUCUUCGGAUUGUAAACCCCUUUCGGGAGGGAAGAUGGAACGAGCAAUCGUUCGGACGGUACCUCCAGAAGCAGCCACGG
rnacentral:rRNA from 1 species